rnacentral:rRNA from 1 species
ACAUUUAUAAAUUUUCAGCUUGUCUGAGGGAAAAAUUUUAAAACGAGGAUAGUCCAUUUAUUAAGUUGUAGCUCCAGCGUUAGAAAUAUAAAUUAUUCUUGAAAAUAUUUUUUAAUGCGACAAUAGGGAUACCAUUGAAUAAAUAAAUUAUUAUAAUCCAUAGAUAUAUUUAUUAAUUUAAUUUUAAUAAAAAUUAAUCGACGGGGUCGAAUUGAUUUCAAUUCAAGUUAUCCCAGAACAGCAGAAAAUUUAAUAUUUUUAUAAAAAUAAAAAUUAUAUUAAAUUUAAUUCACUUAAAUUAUUUCAUUUAUUUUCAAUUUGGAAAGUAAGAUCUAAAAUUAAUUUUUAGAUUACUAAUACGAUGGAAUCGUGUCAAUUUUAAGACGCCGAUAAAUUAAAAGUAACUCGUCCAAAAUAAAUUAUUAUUUUAAUUUGU